CCCUCCCCUCCCACGGAGAGCGGGGAGUUCUGCUCUGCCCACGUGCUCUGGCAGUCGCCACGGUGGCCACUGCGCACUCGGGAGGGGCAGCGGCUGGGGGCUCCGGUACCCCAAGGCUCCUCUCGGAUCGCUAGAGAAGGCGUUCUCACCGAGGGCGCGCCGUCCUCCCCGGACCGUCUCACCUUCGGGCCCACGGAGGCGCUCCGCCAGCCACCAGGCCUCAGCUGGGCGGGAGGGCCACUCGGGACACACACGCCACCGUGGCGGGGACCCAAGGGGGACACCGGGUUGAGGGAAACGACACCACCGCUCGGCCUCAGGCACCUGAGGGACGACCUGGAGCGCUCCAGGGGCACCACCGAGGGUCACACGAGGCACGCUCACACACCCGCGUGGGGCGCGCAGCGCGGCGGCGGCGGCACAGCCCUCCCCGCCACAGGGAGGGCCGCUCGCCGGGCACACGCCGAGAAGGCGAAGCGGGAGCAAUCUGCUGCGUCAGAAGACCAACGGCGCCCACUGACGCCCCGAGGCAAGGGACAGCAGGAGACCGAAGAUCAGGGCCGGAGGCCACACACCCAACCCCUGCCUUCCUCACCCUCCCUGAUGGGCAGCGGGGGGGAAGACAAGCGAGGGGCCCCCGCGGACAGACCGAGAAGAGCGGACACGCUCACUGGGAACGCCCGCCCUCGUCUGGCACGGCUUAGGCUCGGCCCGGGAGAACACGACCACACCACAUCGAUCCGUGGAGCCAAGGUGGGGCGGGGGGAGGCACGGCGAGGACAGUCACCGGAGGGGCCCGCUUUAAGCCUCGCCGGCAACCUCCAUCCCCCCCACCUCGCCUCAGGCGAGAGCGGCCAACGACCCCAAGAGGAGAACACCUGACACGGAGCCCACAGGGCGGGGGUCGUCCCAGCCGCCCCCAGGUGCCCACAGCGGGGGCGAGGGGCGCCCAGGGUAGAAGACCCGCGCCACCUCGCCCCGCCACCCUCGGGUCGCCCAGAGACCGGAGGUGGCACCGGGGGUCGGGUCAGCCAGACGACACCACACAGGAGCCGGCGCACAGGCCCAGGCGGGCGGCUCCAGCGGCAAGGGACGAACCGGGCACCAGCUGGCGGCCCAGAAGCCCAGAGCCCCGCGUGCGUCUAGAGACCCACAGUCCUCGGUGGCAAACACCAAAGGAGACCGUGUCAGCACUUACCUGGUGGCAAAAAAGGCCUAUUAAGGGCGACG
ensembl:lncRNA